rnacentral:rRNA from 1 species
UAGGGAAUCUUCCGCAAUGGGCGAAAGCUUGACGGAGCAACGCCGCGUGAGUGAUGAAGGUCUUCGGAUCGUAAAACUCUGUUAUUAGGGAAGAACAAAUGUGUAAGUAACUAUGCACGUCUUGACGGUACCUAAUCAGAAAGCCACGGCUAACUACGUGCCAGCAGCCGCGGUAAUACGUAGGUGGCAAGCGUUAUCCGGAAUUAUUGGGCGUAAAGCGCGCGUAGGCGGUUUUUUAAGUCUGAUGUGAAAGCCCACGGCUCAACCGUGGAGGGUCAUUGGAAACUGGAAAACUUGAGUGCAGAAGAGGAAAAUGGAAUUCCAUGUGUAGCGGUGAAAUGCGCAGAGAUAUGGAGGAACACCAGUGGCGAAGGCGACUUUCUGGUCUGUAACUGACGCUGAUGUGCGAAAGCGUGGUGAUCAAACAGG